AACAAAUCCAGCAUUUGUGUCAUGGAAAGGCGGAGCAAUCCUCGGAAUUCUUGAUAUUAGUAGGGAGGCCUGGAUUCAUCGUGAGGACUGGAUUAAAAAUGGAAUUCACAUUGGCAGUGGGAGAAAGUACAAGGAUUCAUGUUAUCUUCAAGCUCAGGCAAUGUGCUACCUGAAUUCAUAAGAGCUUUCUGCAGGGUUAUGAGAUUUGAUAAAGAUCGAAACUGGAGCUUGCUAGCUUAUCUUGAAGACGAAAGAACUGUAAGCCUCCCUCCUCUCUCUGGACUCAUAUGGUAGCCUUUGUGAACAACGAUUCGAUAAUCCUGAAACCUGAAAAAUUAUUCAAGAAUUAUCACUGAGCAAGGCCAAUCUGGAGUACAUCCUAAUUUCUAGGAAACUUAAGUCACAGUAUAGAGUUAUACUAAUCUUGGUAUUCAAACUUAUUUAAGACGAUUUCAUUCUCAAGAUUGUGGAAUUUUCAUAGGGUUGAUUUGCUAGCUGACCCUCUAUGUGAAUAAUUAACUUGGGAGUAAU
rnacentral:misc_RNA from 1 species